UGGCUCAGGACGAACGCUGGCGGCGUGCUUAACACAUGCAAGUCGAACGGGAGUAUUGAAGAAGCUUGCUUUAGAGAUACUUAGUGGCGGACGGGUGAGUAACGCGUGAGGAGCUGUCCUAUGCAGGGGGACAACAGCUGGAAACGGCUGCUAAUACCCCAUAAGCCGAGAGGUAAAAGGAUCAAUCCGGCAGAGGAGGUACUCGCGUCCUAUCAGCUAGUAGGUGAGGUAACGGCUCACCUAGGCGAAGACGGGUAGCCGGCCUGAGAGGGCGAACGGCCACACUGGAGCUGAGAUACGGUCCAGACUCCUACGGGAGGCAGCAGUGGGGAAUAUUGGGCAAUGGGGGGAAAAACCCCUGACCCAGCGACGCCGCGUGGGUGAAGAAAUCCUUCGGGAUGUAAAGCCCUGUUGUAUGGGAAGAGCGGAAGACGGUACCAUACGAGGAAGCCCCGGCAAACUACGUGCCAGCCGCCGC
rnacentral:rRNA from 1 species